GCGUUUGUGGUUUAGUGGUAAAAUCCAUCGUUGCCAAAUACGGCAAGUAUUAGCAACUUCGAUGGGCCCCGGGUUCGAUUCCCGGCGAACGCA